rnacentral:rRNA from 1 species
UACAGAGGUUCCAAGCGUUGUUCGGAUUCACUGGGCGUAAAGGGUGCGUAGGCGGUCGGGUAAGUCUGAUGUGAAAUCUCACAGCUUAACUGUGAAACUGCAUUGGAUACUAUCCGGCUAGAGGAAUGGAGGGGAGACUGGAAUACUUGGUGUAGCAGUGAAAUGCGUAGAUAUCAAGUGGAACACCAGUGGCGAAGGCGAGUCUCUGGACAUUUCCUGACGCUGAGGCACGAAAGCCAGGGGAGCAAACGGG